rnacentral:rRNA from 1 species
UACAGAGGGGGCAAGCGUUAUUCGGAAUUAUUGGGCGUAAAGGGCGCGUAGGCGGUAUGGCAAGUGGAAGGUGAAAUCCCUCGGCUUAACCGAGGAACUGCCCUCCAAACUGCUUUACUUGAGGCCGGGAGAGGUGAGUGGAAUUCCCAGUGUAGCGGUGAAAUGCGUAGAUAUCCGCAGGAACAUCCGAGGCGAAAGCGGCUCGCUGGAUCACAACUGACGCUGAGGGACGAAAGCUAGGGGAGCAAACAGG